CAUCGAUACGCAGGCGAAUUGAAUGGUGAGUACUCAUAUGUUUCACAAUAUUUAUUAUACCAUAAAUUCUUUAAUAUGAUAAUAUGGUCGAUCAAAUUAAGCUUAUAAUAUACCUGUAGGUAUGCACUUUGAUGAUGUUUUACUAUGUUUCACUUCGAUACAAUAUGAUAUAUAACCUUGAUAACUGAGUUAACCUACAGUUUACAAAUUUAGUUCAAAAAUCUUAUAAACACUGGUGUUUUAUAGGAAAUAUCCACGUGAAAUGUUUCAAAUGUAACCGACCAUUUACUUUAAUAAAUAUUCCUCACUAACUUUGGGC